rnacentral:lncRNA from 1 species
AUGCCAGAACCUGCGGUGGCCUCGUGCCCCCCACCUCAGUGCUUUGGUGGGUUCUGCCCGGGAGCUCCUGCACUCCAGAACCUUCCAUGGCUUCACACCCCCCACCUCAGCGCUUCGGCGGGCUCUGCCCAGGGGCUCCUGCACUCCAGAACCUUCUGUGGCCUUGCACCCCCCACCUCAGCACCUUGGCGGGCUCUGCCCGGGGACUCCUGCACUCCAGAACCUUCCAUGGCCUUGUGCCCCCCCCCCCCAACCGCCUCAGCAGGGUCUGCCCAGGGUCUCCCUCACCCAGAACCCUCCAUGGCCUCGUGCCCCCCACCUCGGCCAGAGCCUGCCAAGGGGCCCCUCGUGCCCAUGCACCAGAACCUUCUGUGGCCUCGCACCCAUGUGUCAGUGAGGCCUGCCCAGGGGCCAGAACCUUCCAUGGGCCCUCACCUCAGCUGGGGUCUGCCCCAGGGCUCCCAUGUGCCAGAACCUUCUGUGGCCUCGUGCCCGUGCCUGAGCCACGGUCUGCUGAGGGGCUCCUCGCUCUGCACGCCAGAACCUUCCGUGGCCUCACGCCCGCGCCUCAGCACCUCARCGGGGUCUGCCCGGGGGCUCCCUCAUGCCAGAACCUUCCGUGGCCUUGCGCCUGCACCUCAGCACCUCAGCGGGGUCUGCCCGGGGCCUCCCCCGUGCCAGAACCUUCCGUGGCCUCGCGCCCAUGCCUCAGCACCUCAGCGGGGUCUGCCCGGGGGCUCCCCUGUGCCAGAACCUUCCGUGGCCUCGCGCCCGUGCCUCAGCACCUCAGCGGGGUCUGCCCGGGGGCUCCCACACUCCAGAACCUUCCGUGGCCUCGCGCCCGCGCCUCAGCACCUCAGCAGGGUCUGCCCGGGGGCUCCCACACUCCAGAACCUUCCGUGGCCUCGCGCCCGCGCCUCGGCACCUCAGCGGGGUCUGCCCGGGGGCUCCCACACUCCAGAACCUUCCGUGGCCUCGCGCCCGCGCCUUGGCGGGGUCUGUGCUGCGGGGCUGUCCGCCCUCUGCUGCCCUGCGAAGCCUCGAGGCACACAAAAGGGGUGCAUUUAA